rnacentral:lncRNA from 1 species
AAAAACUAUAAAUAUAGUGGUAGAAUAUUGCCUAUCACAGCCUGCAUCAAUAUUUCAAAACUGCUGCCCACUCAGUUGAUGACACUUCUCUGUUCUACUGAAGCCUGCAAGGGAAGCAGUCCUUCUAUCCUGAGAUGGGUGGGGAGCAUCAGUGUUCAGUAGAUUUCUAUUUCUCUGCAUGGCCUACAGAAUCAAUAUAGUAGAUUAAUUUAGUCCAAACCUAAUUUUCAGGCAGCUCCAUUUACUUUAGGUAAAAUGAAUGCUCUCCUCUGAAAGUGUGAAAUAGAGCAUGAAGAACUGAGCAAGCACCAGGAAGGACUUCCCAGACCUAGCAGCAGGCUCAGGAUGCAGCUAGUGUGUCCAGGCUCUGGCAUGGCCAGUCAGAAGAGAAAUUAUUCAUGGAUGUGGCAGAGGGUCUGCUGAGUACCGCGUCCAGCAAGGAAUGAAUGGGACUGAAGUGGAUGGAUACCAUCAUGGCAGUAGCAUCUUCCAGCAGAGGAUUUAUGCUUUCCCCUUUAUGAACAACAACAAAAAAAUUGUUCUCUGGAGUGUUGUUGGGGAGGGAGGAUCUGUAUGUCUUCCAAGUGGCACUGGAGGAGUGGGUAAGUUUUUGCCGUACAUUGGCAAACCUUACACUCAACCUAUGAAGGACUGAGUUUUUCUUC